AUUGAACGCUGGCGGCAGGCUUAACACAUGCAAGUCGAGCGGGCGAGGUUGCUUCGGUAACUGAGCUAGCGGCGGACGGGUGAGUAAUGCUUAGGAAUCUGCCUAUUAGUGGGGGACAACAUUCCGAAAGGGAUGCUAAUACCGCAUAUGUCCUACGGGAGAAAGCAGGGGAUCAUUUGACCUUGCGCUAAUAGAUGAGCCUAAGUCGGAUUAGCUAGUUGGUGGGGUAAAGGCCUACCAAGGCGACGAUCUGGAGCGGGUCUGAGAGGAUGAUCCGCCACACUGGGACUGAGACACGGCCCAGACUCCUACGGGAGGCAGCAGUGGGGAAUAUUGGACAAUGGGGGGAACCCUGAUCCAGCCAUGCCGCGUGUGUGAAGAAGGCCUUUUGGUUGUAAAGCACUUUAAGCGAGGAGGAGGCUUACCUGGUUAAUACCUGGGAUAAGUGGACGUUACUCGCAGAAUAAGCACCGGCUAACUCUGUGCCAGCCGCCGCCGUAA
rnacentral:rRNA from 1 species